rnacentral:Y_RNA from 1 species
GGCUGGUCUGAGUGCAGUGGUGUUUACAACUAAUUGAUCACAGCCAAUUACAGAUUUCUUUCUUCCUUCUCCACUCCCACUGUUUCACUUGACUAGCCUUUA